GAUGAACGCUGGCGGCGUGCCUAAUACAUGCAAGUCGAGCGAACAGACAAGGAGCUUGCUCCUUUUGACGUUAGCGGCGGACGGGUGAGUAACACGUGGGUAACCUACCUAUAAGACUGGGAUAACUUCGGGAAACCGGAGCUAAUACCGGAUAAUAUUUCGAACCGCAUGGUUCGAUAGUGAAAGAUGGUUUUGCUAUCACUUAUAGAUGGACCCGCGCCGUAUUAGCUAGUUGGUAAGGUAACGGCUUACCAAGGCGACGAUACGUAGCCGACCUGAGAGGGUGAUCGGCCACACUGGAACUGAGACACGGUCCAGACUCCUACGGGAGGCAGCAGUAGGGAAUCUUCCGCAAUGGGCGAAAGCCUGACGGAGCAACGCCGCGUGAGUGAUGAAGGUCUUCGGAUCGUAAAACUCUGUUAUUAGGGAAGAACAUACGUGUAAGUAACUAUGCACGUCUUGACGGUACCUAAUCAGAAAGCCACGGCUAACUACGUG
rnacentral:rRNA from 1 species